GUAGGGUGCGAGCGUUUGUCCGGAAUUUAUUUGGGGCGUUAAAGGCGCGACGUAGGCGGUUACUUAUGUUCGGAUGUGAAAGGCCCUCGGCUUAAACUGAGGAAGUGCAAUUCGAAACUGGGUAGCUAGAGUACUAAAGAGGGUCGCGGAAUUCCCGGUGUAGGAGGUGAAAUUCGUUAGAUAUCGGGAGGAACACCGGUGGCGAAGGCGGCGACCUGGGUGAGAUACGUGACGGCUGAGGCGGCGAAAGC
rnacentral:rRNA from 1 species